rnacentral:tRNA from 1 species
GGAGAGGUGUCCGAGUGGUUGAAGGAGCACGCCUGGAAAGCGUGUAUGGUGCAAGCUAUCGUGAGUUCGAAUCUCAUCCUCUCCGCCA